CGUCAAACUCCAAAGUAAAUCGUGGCAAGAAAUCAAAUGCCCCUUUUGAUAAGGCAGAGGUAGAGAGCUCGAGCGGCAGAGGUGGGGGAGGUGAUUCCUUCUUUCAUGGCGAUUCCGAGCUCUUCCAUCGCAGGAUUUUGAUCUCUUCUCCUUUUCCUCUUCAUCCCCCGGCUGCCCUGGUUGCUUGUCCUUGUCUCUCCCGUUUUUGCCCGUGCUUUCGUGGCUCUGUAGUUCCAGAUCCAGGUGAUUUGGGGUUUCAUGGAUCCCCGGUAGGUCUUUUUUUUAUUCGCGGGAUGUUCUUGUUGCCGCCAUGGUGUUCUAGUCCAUCAUGGUUGUGCGCCUGAGUUUUGGUUAGAGCUUGCAGCGCGCCAUGUGUAGUCCGCCAUGCCGUGGUCUUCUCUUUUUGUUGUGGAAGUAGGCCAAAUCCCGCCUGGUUUGGCUUCUGUAGGCGAAAUCCUGGGGCAGUGUUCUGCUGUUGAUGUAAGUUUCUCUGUUGUUGAUGUGGAGGUAGGCGUAGUAGGCGUUAGUUUUCAGCGGUGGAUGUCAUAGCUUGACUCUGAAGAUCGGGUUCUGGUUGUUUGUUGGGGAGAUUUCAUCUUCUGGCGUCUUCUUUGGGGUUGUAGUUGUAGUUGUAGAUGACUGCUCUUGUUUUGAUGUUCUAGCCGCUGAAUUUCGUCAUGUUGUAAUGUAUUUGUUCCCUGAUGUUUGUUCAUCCCGCUGGUUACUGAAUUUCUAUGUUCCGAAUGUUUCCUUUCUGCAUCUUCCUGAAUUUUCAUGCUUGUUUUUCAGUGUUCCCCUAUAAUAGGAGUGUAUGUUACACCGAGAUAUACAGAGUAUCAGCAUGCAGUUCUGCUUUGCAAUUUUUGACCCUGUUAGUUGCCCUAUAUAGUUUCCCUAUAUAGUUUCCCUGUACCUUGUCCUGUAGAGCUACACUGCAACCUCAUGCAUUCAGUGGUUUUGCCAUAGUUUCAGAGUAAUUUGUUUCAGUGUCUGUAUGUAGCUUUUUCCUGUUUUUUGAGUGUAUUAAACCCCUAGUUUAUGAUGUAAUUUCCCCGUAUUAAACCCCUACUUUAGUGUACUCAGUGUACCUUGUUGUUGCACUUUUUCGAUGUAGUAUAUCCCGUAGUUGGUUUCACAACCCUGCAUUUUCAAAGUGUAACCCCCCCCCCCCCCCCCCCCCCCUAUUUACUGUGGUGUAAAUCCCCGCAUAGGUAAUGUAUAAUUUGUUCUAUAGUUUCAUUGUAACCAUGCACUCUUUCUCAGUGUAAUUCCCCCCUAAUUUGCGGUGUAAUUUCACUGUAAUCGCAUGUAUAAUUACACUAUAAUUUGUGCUGUAGUUGCAGUGUAAUUUCCUCUUAAUUUAGCAGCGUAAAUCCCUCUAUAACUAUUGUGUAGUUUGUCUGUUUUUUCACUGUAAUCCUAUGCAUAUUUACAGUAAGUGGUGUUAAUUUUACAGUGCAAUUUUCACUUCAUUUACAAUGUAAUUUUCUCUUGAUUUAGUGGUGUAAAUUUCUCUAUUAUUACUGCUUAGUUUUACCUGCUUUUACACUGUAAUCCGAUGCAUUUUUACAGUGUAAAUUUACCCGUAUUUACUAAAUAGGUUGUCCUGCUUUUACACUGUAAUCUGAUGCACUCUUACAAUGUAAUGUUACCUUUAAUUACUGUGUAGUUUGGCCUGCUUUUACACUGUAAUCCAAUGUGUUUUUACAGCGUAAAUUUACCCUUAAUUACUGCAUAGUUUGAACUGCUUUAUAUUGUAGUCAGAUGCCUUUUUACAGUGCAAAUUCACCUUAAUUACUGUGUAGUUUGUACUGUAGUUACACUGUAAUCCGAUGCCAUUUUACAGUGUAAAUUUAUAAUUACUGUGUACUUUUUACUGUAGUUACACUGUAAUUCAAUGCCCUUUUUACAGUGUAAUUUUACCCAUAAUUACUGUGUAGUUUGUACUAUAGUUACACUGUAAUCCGAUGCCCUUUUACAGUGUAAUUUACCCAUAAUUGCUGUGUAGUUUGUACUGUAGUUACAUUGUAAUCCUAUGCCCUUUUACUGUGUAAUUUUACCCACAAUUACUGUGUAGUUUGUACGUUACUGUGUAACCCCACAUAUUUUCUUACAGUGUAAUUCCCCAUAAUUGCGCUUCUAGUAUUUUUUUCCCAUAUUCACCACAUUUUUCAGUGCCUAGUUCAUGCUUAUUUUCUUUGUUUUUUUUGUCCUAGUAUUUUCUGUGUAAUCAUCACUAUAAGCCCAGUUUUGUCUUUCGUAUCUAUAUAAUUGAGCUCCAUUUGUUUGUUGUUUUUCAGCUAGUUUCUUAAUGGGUAGACUACGGAAAGUCUAUCCCAAGGAUGUUCCGCUAGUUUCUUCAGAUUGUUCUGGUGAUGAUGAAGAGUUUGAUAAAGCUCUAUACAAUUUUUAUGUGAAUAAUGUAAGUCUUUUUACGAUCUAGUUUUAUUUCCAUGUUUAUCUUUUUCUGAUGAUUUAUCCUUUUUAUGUUGGUUUGAUAUUUUGGUAUUUGUUUUGUACAAAAAGUCAAUUACCUAAAGAGGAAAUUAUCAUCUGCUAGUAGAAGGAAUGUUGUAAGUCUCUUUUCUCUUCUUGUGUUUUAUUUUCUGUCCCUUCUUCUCUUUUGGUUGCUUGUCUGAUGUUAUCUUCGAUGGGGUUUCCCCUAUGUAUCUUUAGUUUAUUUUGCAUUAUUAAUGUAGUUCUUAUUAUGUUUUUUGUAGAGGCAGGAACGAUCUUCUGAUUUCCCCGUUUGUUCAACAUUCACUAGAUAUUCUGGAUUUUUAGUUCUGUGUUGCACUAUAUCUUUGGUUACCUCAUCAUCUUUAUUUCUCAGCGUAUAAUAAUUGUUGAUAGCUACUUUUUCGUAGUUUAUUAUUUUUCAUUUUACAUUCUUCUAUUUUAAUUUAGUUGUCUCUUAUUAUUUGUUGCAGUGUUGUUUUAUAGUUCUAAAGUUCUUGAAGAAUUGUUCAAACAACUAAAUCUUUUUGAGUGGCUACAGAGGGCUGCCUCCCAGUGAUUAGCUUCCGCUGCUGCCUCUUCGCCUGUUGAAUCAUCUUCAUGCAUUUCUUGCCAUGUCUGCAGAGUAGUUCAACUUAUACUUUGUUAUUUCUGGGCAUUUGUAACUCACAUUUAGUAUGAGGUCUUCUAGUGACAUUGAUAGUAGAUCUUCUCCAGUUAUUGCUCGUUGCUUGCUGCCCCCUGCAAUUAAGUUUGAAGUAAUGUCAGUACAAUUGCAAAAAAAUUGAAGAACAACACUGGUAGAAUUUCUUAGCAACGCCCCGUUUGUUAGUAUUCGUAAUUGUUUUUCAGAUUGUAUAGUGUAUUUGUAUGCAGAGAGGUAACUGAAUUUUCUUCUUUUUUAGUGUAUCCUGAAUUUUUCCUUUUUGAGGAUACUGAAAUGUUGUUUUUAUCUAUUGAAGCUUUCAAUUUUCUCUGAUCAUGGCAAAUAUGCAGCUAGAUACCAACAGAUGUACGCCCAAAUAUAGGAGAAAAUGGAAACGCCGACAAGCAUUAUAGGAUUUCACUAGAUGUAUGUUCUCAGAGGAGUGUUUUUACAAUAUAUUCCUGUUUGAUUUCAUCUUACCAGCACUCAAAACAGAGGUGGAAUAGUUCUGCUGUAGCUUGAGGAGUUGAAGAUUUUCAUGUACCUGCGAUUUGUCUCUGGGAUGAUCUUGUUGUGAUCCCCAAGUGACUGCUUGUGUUCUUCUUCCAGGUGAUUUUGUUCUCGACGAAAAGGAAAGGAUAGUUGGCCGGAUCAGUUAUACUUUUGUUGCUGUUAGUUGCUUGACGGGUCAGAUUUUCAGCCCGACCCGUUUUCUUCGGGAAAAACAUACAUACAUACAAUUGUCGUAGGUUUUUUCAAUAACAGUUAAUAGCUGAUUGGUUGGAAAACUUGAAUGAUAUCUCAUUACAAAUCAGUCGAAUGCCAAAUAGACAGUCCCUACUUUUUUGUUGUU